AUUCAGAAAACCAAAAGGCAACAUUGUGCUACUACACAUAAUUGUAAUAUACCACAAGAACCACACAAUCCUGCGCAAUUACUCUACAAGUACUAAGUGCACAGAAAAAUGGGCAAUCACCAUGGAAAUUAACAGUAAGAGCAGGAACAUUCUCUUAGUUGCAAUGUCGACUGAUCUCUUUUCACAGUUUUAUUGUACUUUUAUGUUUGAAACACAAUGUUAU